UACGGAGGGAGCUAGCGUUAUUCGGAAUUACUGGGCGUAAAGCGCACGUAGGCGGCUUUGCAAGUUAGAGGUGAAAGCCUGGAGCUCAACUCCAGAACUGCCUUUAAAACUGCAUCGCUUGAAUCCAGGAGAGGUGAGUGGAAUUCCGAGUGUAGAGGUGAAAUUCGUAGAUAUUCGGAAGAACACCAGUGGCGAAGGCGGCUCACUGGACUGGUAUUGACGCUGAGGUGCGAAAGCGUGGGAGCAACAGG
rnacentral:rRNA from 1 species